rnacentral:tRNA from 1 species
GGGCCGGUAGCUCAGCCUGGAAGUAGCGAUAGCGAGAAGGCGAUAGGUCCCGGGUUCAAAUCCCGGCCGGUCCACCA